AGAGUUUGAUCAUGGCUCAGAUUGAACGCUGGCGGCAGGCCUAACACAUGCAAGUCGAACGGUAACAUUUCUAGCUUGCUUGAAGAUGACGAGUGGCGGACGGGUGAGUAAUGCUUGGGAACUUGCCUUUGCGAGGGGGAUAACAGUUGGAAACGACUGCUAAUACCGCAUAACGUCUUCGGACCAAACGGGGCUUAGGCUCCGGCGCAAAGAGAGGCCCAAGUGAGAUUAGCUAGUUGGUAAGGUAAAGGCUUACCAAGGCAACGAUCUCUAGCUGUUCUGAGAGGAAGAUCAGCCACACUGGGACUGAGACACGGCCCAGACUCCUACGGGAGGCAGCAGUGGGGAAUAUUGCACAAUGGGCGAAAGCCUGAUGCAGCCAUGCCGCGUGUGUGAAGAAGGCCUUCGGGUUGUAAAGCACUUUCAGUUGUGAGGAAAAGUUGGUAGUUAAUACCUGCCAGCCGUGACGUUAACAACAGAAGAAGCACCGGCUAACUCCGUGCCAGCAGCCGCGGUAAUACGGAGGGUGCGAGCGUUAAUCGGAAUUACUGGGCGUAAAGCGCACGCAGGCGGUUUGUUAAGCUAGAUGUGAAAGCCCCGAGCUCAACUUGGGAUGGUCAUUUAGAACUGGCAGACUAGAGUCUUGGAGA
rnacentral:rRNA from 1 species